UACGUAGGGGGCAAGCGUUGUCCGGAAUCAUUGGGCGUAAAGAGCUCGUAGGCGGUGUGUCACGUCGGCCGUGAAAACCUGCAGCUUAACUGUGGGCGUGCGGUCGAUACGGGCAUGGACUGGAGUUCGGCAGGGGAGACUGGAAUUCCUGGUGUAGCGGUGAAAUGCGCAGACGUAGUCAGGAGGAACACCGGUGGCGAAGGCGGGU
rnacentral:rRNA from 1 species